GAUGAACGCGAGUCGGCGUGCCUAACACAUGCAAGUCGUAUGGGGCUUCGGCUCCAUGGCGGACGGGUGAGUAACACGUGGGCACCUGCCCCCAGACGGGGUCUAAUGGAGGGAAACCUCCGGUAAUCCCCCAUAGGCGCAACAGGUGCUUGGGAAAAGCUCUAGAAGCUGUCUGGGGAUGGGCCUGCGGCUGAUUAGCUAGUUGGUGAGGGUAAUGGCCCACCAAGGCGAGGAUCAGUAGCUGGCUUGAGAGGGCGGCCGGCCACAUUGGGACUGAGACACGGCCCAGACUCCUACGGGAGGCAGCAGUGGGGAAUCUUCCGCAAUGGGCGCAAGCCUGACGGAGCGACGCCGCGUGAAGGAAUAAGGCCGUUUUGGGUCGUAAACUUCUUUGCACGGGCUUAGGAAGACUGACUGCCCGAGAAGCAAGCAUCGGCUAACUCCGUGCCAGCCGCCGCGGUAA
rnacentral:rRNA from 1 species